GUCUGCGGAAGCCCCUGCGGAAGGAGGGGCUCCGGCCAGGGUCGAGCUGCGGUAAUAACGGUCACUGCUGCCUCUUUCCCUCUCCCAGAGGCCACGCUGUGGGUGCGGUUGUCCGUUCGUCCCCUGGGGAUGCCGUUGACUGCAGCAGCCUCAGGCUUGCGUGGGCUGUCUCUGCCUGGCCUCCCUCUCCUCGCGGCGCGGGAGCGCAGAGGGACAGGCGGAGCGCUUACUGGCUGUGGGCAGGAGCUGCGGAAGCUGGAGAGGCCACAGAAAGGUAAAGAAGAAGCAGCGGAAGGCCGUCUGGCUGGCAGCUGCCUCCCGCUGCAGGCAAGAGAGAGCCUGCCUCUCCGGGUGUGGGAGCAUCCCUCCUCGUAGUCCGCAGCAGGUCAGACCGCCAGGGUCUGUAUGCACGACCAGCAGCGGGGUACUGCCACGUAGCGAGCGAGCGAGGCUACGUGUCUAGGAGGCCUCAUCUCGUAAGAGCUGUGAGACGCUCGCGUGUUCCGUUACGUGGAGGACAGCCAAGCGACGGGAGUUCCAGAAGAGGAAGGGAGGAGAGAAGGAGAAAGAAGCGUCUGAGCUGGCAAGGUCUCCUGGCAGCUCCAAGAGCGAGAGCUGUGGUGGACGUCAGCUGCCACCAUUUCACCGUGGUUGCCCUUUCUUCUGCAGUGAAAGUACAAGACAGAUGGAAAGAUUCCGUAGUGGUCUGCAAGUACAAGGUUUUCCCAGGAAGCAUCAGCAGCCUUGUAACUAGUGACAGUGAGUCCUGAGGUGGUUUUGCUUUAUUCACCAAACAAGCAAGAUGCAAAGCAGCAGCAGCAGCGCAAGGGCUGUAGCUGUUGCGGUGGAUCCGUAAGCAUAGAUUCUGAUUGCAUACGACCUCGUCCCGCAGCCUCCCAGGGUUAUCUCCCUGCAGCAGUGCUGUAAGGAAGGGAGGAGACGUUUUCCAACACCGGCAAGAGUGUUUACUUGUAUGCUAAGAAGGUGUUCAAAAUGGCAUCAAUUAGCCUAAAUGCUGAUUUUAAGCGUUCAAAUCGCUCUUAACUUUUAAAGGAGCUGGUGUAUUUCGAGCUGACCUGUUUACCUGGAAUCCUCCUUUAGCUCAGCGACUCUUCUUGUGCACCCCCAGCCUCCGCUGGCAGGGUGGUAUGAGAAGCUGGAAGGUCCUUGACUUAGUAUAAACACUGCUUAGCAACAACUAAAGCGUCGGUGUGUUGUCAACAUUGUUCUCAUCCUAAAUCCAAAAUGGCCCUGUACUAGCUACUCAGAAGAAAAUUAACUUUAUUCCAGCCGAAACCAGGACAACCCCAAACCCCCUGAUUCUGGGUCUGCAACGGAAAACACCGAACGAAUUUGGGACUCCUGGGAAAGCCAAAUCCACCUGGAUUUGUGCAGCUGGAAAGCAAAAAAACCCACCCCAUUUUCACGCA